CACGGUUUGCACUAGUGCUCC
rnacentral:misc_RNA from 1 species